GAGAAGGGUCCAGCUGCAGGCUUGGGCGUUCCCGUCAUGACACAAAAACGCCCAUCAGGCGUUCCUGUAGCGUUUCAUCGAUCAAUCAAGAAGAGUACCCUGGCACAUGCUUUGUCCAAUGGACCAUGGAAGGGACUUUACUUGGCUGACGAGUACGCAAUGUAUUCUACCCUCAAAAGCAAUAUGAUUUCAGUGAGGUGAGUUCUUUCAAAUCUCAAUCAGAUGUGUAGCAUGAAAUAUAAGGCUUUUAAUAAUUUAGUCAUCCUUACUGGAGGCUACAAUUAACAUGCAUCAUAGGUCAUACACAUUACUUUGUCUUCAGGUACUGCACUUACGGGAGGAGAUGGCUACAUCUUCACAAUAAUUUACACUGCCAUAGUACACUGCUAAACAGUACUGUAACAUGGAUUUGUAUCAGGCUAUGAAGUCAUUUAAAGCAUAACUUUACUUUUCAGGGGGACAUGCUCUCUAUCAGGAGGUGGUGGUUGGACAGCUGUUGGAGACCUUUAUGCUUGAAAGGUUUAUAUACUGUGUCCAUGUUGCUAUUUACUUAUUUUUGGU